UGUUUUACAGGGUCAGUCAUAGUAGUAUGAUAGGUGUUGUUUUACAGGGUCAGCCAUAGUAGUAUGAUAGGUGUUGUUUUACAGGGUCAGCCAUAGUAGUAUGAUAGGUGUUGUUUUACAGGGUCAGUCAUAGUAGUAUGAUAGGUGUUGUUUUACAGGGUCAGUCAUAGUAGUAUGAUAGGUGUUGUUUUACAGGGUCAGUCAUAGUAGUAUGAUAGGUGUUGUUUUACAGGGUCAGCCAUAGUAGUAUGAUAGGUGUUGUUUUACAGGGUCAGUCAUAGUAGUAUGAUAGGUGUUGUUUUACAGGGUCAGUCAUAGUAGUAUGAUAGGUGUUGUUUUACAGGGUCAGUCAUAGUAGUAUGAUAGGUGUUGUUGUACAGGGUCAGUCAUAGUAGUAUGAUAGGUGUUGUUUUACAGGGUCAGUCAUAGUAGUAUGAUAGGUGUUGUUUUACAGGGUCAGUAGUAUGAUAGGUGUUGUUUUACAGGGUCAGUCAUAGUUUUAUGAUAGGUGUUGUUUUACAGGGUCAGUCAUAGUAGUAUGAUAGGUGUUGUUUUACAGGGUCAGUCAUAGUAGUAUGAUAGGUGUUGUUUUACAGGGUCAGUCAUAGU